AUGGCUAUAUCACAUUGAAACACCGGUUCUCAUAUGAUCACUGAAGUUAAGCGAUGUCAAGCCUGGUUAGUACCUAGCUGGGUGACCUCUUGGAAAUAUUAGGUACUGUAAG